UUUGAGGUUGGUGCAGUGCUUGAGGAUGCAAAUUGGCAGGCUCCAGUGAAUUGUUUUGAUGAGAAUGACAAGGAAAAGAAUAUCCCCAUUUUGGGAUCUGCUGUUCGUGGUGGUUCUCUUGGGAGUUAUGACGUAGGCUCUGCCACUUGGGCAGACCUUAGGAAAGCACCCCUCCAAAGUGCAAUGGAAGUCACUUACAUUUGUGUCCACUUUGUUUUAAAAGAACUUGUGCGGAAGUCAAUUUCAGAAACUGAGGUCAGCAAUGUUUCAGCAAUGUCCCAACAAUGUUUUCAGAAACGGAAGUCAAUUUUAGUGCACCGUUAUUUGAGACUAAAUAUGGUGGAUUAUCUACUAUCUAUAUUGAAAAUCGUCACAUGGCUUAUUAAUUAGAAAGGUGUCAGUCACAAUUCCCUCGGGUGAUUAAUUGGAAAACUAACAUAUAAGGGAAGGCAUGUGUUUAACCUGUACUAUGUAGUUUGUUGAUGAUUGUAAUUUGUAAUAAGUGUUGCCUAUUUUGAGUCUUAACAUAAUUUUUCAAAUGUCACUCCUGUAGCUUCAGCAUUGGAAUCUGGAAGCUUUCAUUCUCUUGUUGAUGAAAAGUUGAU